UACGUAGGGGGCAAGCGUUAUCCGGAAUUACUGGGUGUAAAGGGUGAGUAGGCGGCAUGGUAAGCCAGAUGUGAAAGCCCUGGGCUUAACCCGAGGAUUGCAUUUGGAACUAUCAAGCUAGAGUACAGGAGAGGAAAGCGGAAUUCCUAGUGUAGCGGUGAAAUGCGUAGAUAUUAGGAAGAACACCAGUGGCGAAGGCGGCUUUCUGGACUGAAACUGACGCUGAGGCACGAAAGCGUGGGGAGCGAACAGG
rnacentral:rRNA from 1 species